CUCGUACGACGGUUACGUAAUGCGUCAACGGUGCGAAUUAUCGUAGAGUGACAACCUCGCCAUCCGUUUUCGUUGGAUGUAACAAAUUCGUCCUUCUGCUCGCCAUAUUGAAUCAGAUUCGAAGAAUCCGAAUUUCUGCUGUCGAAGAGAGUGCAACUCGUCUUCACGAAUGAACUCGAAAUAGAUGCAAAUUUCUCUAUCGGCGAGUAGGAUCGUGACUCGUUUGAAGGAAAGGGAUGUUCUUUCGGUCGAAUAGUGGAAUAAAUUUGACAAAAUUCCAGGAGAUGUGGCUAAAUGAUUUUCUAACCUGUCGAGAAGUGUGUAGGUGCAGCGAUGUCUGUACACGUUCAUCAAUGCUGCAGCCAAUCUUAAACAUGAUUCUCACGAGAAAGAAAAGGACCUCCACACUCUGACCUUACAUAAAUAUAUUUAUAGGUAUAUCGUCCUGCGCACCGAGGAGAGAUGACGAUUCAAGUGCGCUAAACAUUAUAAUACAGCUCUGGUGGGACUUCAUAUACCACGACAUUUGACCCAUGUCGUUUGAAUCUGUUUCUUUUUGUUCCGUCAGGUUGUACAAAAGGUUGUUUCAAUAGAAAAACCGCAUGCGAUUUGCUGAAUCGAAAUGUCAAUAACUUAUUUUCAUAACGCCCUGUUCUCUUUUAUAUUCUGAAUUAAGGUAACAAAUACGACCC